rnacentral:rRNA from 1 species
UACAGAGGUCUCAAGCGUUGUUCGGAUUCAUUGGGCGUAAAGGGUGCGUAGGUGGCGCCGUAAGUCAGGUGUGAAAUUUCGGAGCUUAACUCCGAAACUGCAUUUGAUACUGCGGUGCUUGAGGACUGGAGAGGAGACUGGAAUUUACGGUGUAGCAGUGAAAUGCGUAGAUAUCGUAAGGAAGACCAGUGGCGAAGGCGGGUCUCUGGACAGUUCCUGACGCUGAGGCACGAAGGUCAGGGGAGCAAACGGA